UCAACCGCAAACUACCAUAGAAACACAUACAUAGCAAAUGAAAGAGAGGGCUACAGCAAGGCCCUCUUGAUUCACUCCGUGAGUCUGGAGUUCCUUGAACCAGCAUCUUCAAAUUAUGAUGUGCCCCAACCAUAGAGUCAAGGUUGUCUACCAUAGUGCCCAAAGUUGUCUAGACCUUGUUUCUUGAUAGAAUACUGCCGGAUGUUUCAGUCUGUAACAUAUCGUGCAUUAUAGAUGUUGGUGGAGUCUUCUGAAUACGAGUUUUUGGAGUCGGCAGAAGGCACAAUUUUCCCGGAGGUUUUGUGGUCUUCUUUACAACCGGUAACGGAGGAAGUAGAGCCGUAUCCACCACCUGGAGAUUAAUUUAGUGUGUUGGUGGAGUCUUCUCAAUCCAGAUGUAAUCGAGGUUUCUAUACCACGUGAAGAUCGUCGCUGUCAACUAGUGAUCGGGUCCUACGACCCGAUAGGAAUUGUUCCGGUCGAAUCGUAGUUACAGCAAAGCAGGAACGGAGGAGUUUAUUGGGAAAUGCAGGAGAAUAAUUUCUACGAAUAAUGCAGCAUAAUGAGUAAUCAUGGUUCAUUGAAACGAUCUGAAACGGCCCAGUAGUAGUCCUCCACGAGAGCGCAACGUCGACAACAUUUGAGGAUUGCGGUCGUCAGGAAUAUAGAGAACACAUUCCUGGUUUCCGGAAAUAAAAACUGCAAAUGACUUUACACCACACAUCCUAUACACGAGAGCUGCCAAUUUAUAUUUAUUUAUUAAAUCCACCUGUUCCGGUUGCAAGUAUCGUCCGUACAAUAAUUACCUAAGCUCCUCUUUCCCCCAACACGUAUCUCACUGCGCCAUCCCAAAAACGGCACAGAAUUGGUCAAAAGUGUAUGUGUGUGUUUGUUUGAAUAGCAUGCACACUAGCUGAAGAAUUGUUUUGGUUUACUUUCGCGUAAAUUAUCUACCAUUGUGUCGCUUUGCCUGGAGCUUGGUGGCAUUUGCUGGCGUUAUAAAUUUGUCUUUUCGGUUUUCUUUACACGAUUAUAUCAUAAUGUAUCCUUCCCGCGUUGCUCAAAGCCUUCGUAAUUACACUUUAAGGCGCACACGCGCGCCACAACACCGCAACGCCACAGUCUUUGCACAUUGCCAGCUUGGCCUUGGAGCUACUUGCCUUUGCCGUGAGCAAGCUUGCACGGAAACGAACGUUUGAAGAUGCCCUACUAAAACUAAAACGAAGCAACAGUGCCCUACCGCACACAACACAACCCUGGCCCUGAAACGUAUAAUACUAGCGUGUUGGUUUUUUUGGUAUGAAAUGAUACAAUGCAGUACUGCAGUGCGGUAGUAGCGGUGAGUGUGGCAAUAGUAGUAGCGCAGUAUUACUUAAGUAAACAAUCAGAAUAAUUCUACUACUGGUUCGACAUGUAGGAAAAAAGCAUUUUAAUACAGUCGUUGCAGCUGAAUGUUGCCUCACUGUACCUGUAUGAGUCAACCAACUGUUAUCGCUUAAGCAUGCAUUAUUGUGUCAAGGGCAAAAGUAAGAUAACAUAAAAUCGAAAGAGGUGUUUGAGCUGAUUUUGAAUAGUUUUUAUAAUUCAAGCGUACUGUGUGUAUGUGAUUUGAAUAAAAAUUAACCAUUGAAUGCAAUUUUAUCCCCAGCUUCACGUGUGUGAAUCCCAAACCUAAGCAGUAAAAUGCAGUCCUAAGCGACGCAGAUUGGUGAUUUAGAGGCAACAUUCAACUGCAAUGACUUUAAACCAUAAAAAAGCAUUAGCAAUAAUAACUGUAGCUGCUUACCAACUUCCCCGCCAAUCCAGUGCCGGGAAAAUUCUAAGGCCGGAAAGAAGAAGUAAUGACUAAAAUAGCUUAAACUAAUCGCACAACCGAAAACCAAAAAAACUCGCAACACAUUUGGCAAGCGAAGGAGAAUGGCUCAUGUGUGCGCUCAGCGGAACAGCUUGAAACCCCCCGAAAGCUCCACAUCCUACUACCAACAAAAGCAAACAAAAAAAAAAACGGCCGCUAACCGGU